AGUGAACGCUGGCGGUAGGCCUAACACAUGCAAGUCGAACGGCAGCACAGUAAGAGCUUGCUCUUACGGGUGGCGAGUGGCGGACGGGUGAGGAAUACAUCGGAAUCUACUUUUUCGUGGGGGAUAACGUAGGGAAACUUACGCUAAUACCGCAUACGACCUACGGGUGAAAGCAGGGGAUCUUCGGACCUUGCGCGAUUGAAUGAGCCGAUGUCGGAUUAGCUAGUUGGCGGGGUAAAGGCCCACCAAGGCGACGAUCCGUAGCUGGUCUGAGAGGAUGAUCAGCCACAUGGGAACUGGGACACGGUCCAUACUCCUAAGGGAGGCAGCAGUGGGGAAUAUGGGACAAUGGGCGCAAGCCUGAUCCAGCCAUACCGCGUGUGUGAAGAAGGCCUUCGGGUUGGAAAGCCCUUUUGUUGGGAAAGAAAAGCAGCAGGUUAAUACCCCGCUGUUCUGACGGUACCCAAAGAAUAAGCACCGGCUAACUUCGUG
rnacentral:rRNA from 1 species